rnacentral:rRNA from 1 species
AACGAACGCUGGCGGCAGGCUUAACACAUGCAAGUCGAGCGCCCCGCAAGGGGAGCGGCAGACGGGUGAGUAACGCGUGGGAAUCUACCCAUCUCUACGGAACAACUCCGGGAAACUGGAGCUAAUACCGUAUACGUCCUUCGGGAGAAAGAUUUAUCGGAGAUGGAUGAGCCCGCGUUGGAUUAGCUAGUUGGUGGGGUAAUGGCCUACCAAGGCGACGAUCCAUAGCUGGUCUGAGAGGAUGAUCAGCCACACUGGGACUGAGACACGGCCCAGACUCCUACGGGAGGCAGCAGUGGGGAAUAUUGGACAAUGGGCGAAAGCCUGAUCCAGCCAUGCCGCGUGAGUGAUGAAGGCCCUAGGGUUGUAAAGCUCUUUCGCAGGUGAAGAUAAUGACGGUAACCUGAGAAGAAGCCCCGGCUAACUUCGUGCCAGCAGCCGCAGUAAAAC